rnacentral:rRNA from 1 species
AGUGGAUGGGGAGCAACCUAGUUGUGCGUGUGUAAAGGUAGUGCCAAGAAAAGCGAUGAUCAUGUUGAAAAUCAAUUCCCGGUACCCGAAACCGACACAGGUGGGCAAGUAGAGAAUACUAAGGGGCGCGAGGUAACUCUCUCCAAGGAACUCGGCAAAAUGACCCCGUAACUUAGGGAGAAGGGGUGCCACCGAGAGGUGGUCGCAGUGAAGAGGCCCAGGCGACUGUUUAGCAAAAACAUAGGUCUCUGCAAACUCGAAAGAGGAGGUAUAGGGGCUGACGCCUGCCCAGUGCCGGAAGGUUAAAGAAGUUGGUCAGUCUUAGGAUGAAGCUAGCGACUGAAGCCCCGGUGAACGGCGGCCGUAACUAUAACGGUCCUAAGGUAGCGAAAUUCCUUGUCGGGUAAGUUCCGACCCGCACGAAAGGCGUAACGAUCUGGGCGCUGUCUCGGAGAGAGGCUCGGCGAAAUAGGAUUGUCUGUGAAGAUACGGACUACCUGCAUUUGGACAGAAAGACCCUAUGAAGCUUUACUAUAGCUUGGAAUUGUGUUCGGGCUUCCUGUGCGCAGGAUAGGUGGGAGGCGUAGAAGGUAUUCUUGUGGGGAUACUGGAGCCAACGGUGAGAUACCACUCUCAGGAGGCUAGAAUUCUAACUUAAUUAAGGACAGUUUCAGGUGGGUAGUUUGACUGGGGCGGUCGCCUCCAAAAAGGUAACGGAGGCGUACAAAGUUUCCCUCAGACUGGUUGGAAAUCAGUCGAAGAGUGCAAAGGCAGAAGGGAGCUUGACUGCGAGAAGUACAGUUCGAGCAGGGUGGAAACACGGUCUUAGUGAUCCGACGGUGCUGUGUGGAAGGGCCGUCGCUCAACGGAUAAAAGUUACUCUAGGAUAACAGGCUGAUCUCCCCCAAGAGUUCACAUCGACGGGGAGGUUUGGCACCUCGAUGUCGGCUCAUCGCAACCUGGGGCGGAAGUACGUCCCAAGGGUUGGGCUGUUCGCCCAUUAAAGCGGUACGUGAGCUGGGUUCAGAACGUCGUGAGACAGUUCGGUCCAUAUCCGAUGUAGGCGUGAGAAUAUUGAGAGGAGCCUUCCUUAGUACGAGAGGACCGGGAAGGACGCACCGCUGGUGUACCUGUUAUGAUGCCAAUUGUAAACGCAGGGUAGCCAAGUGCGGAGAGGAUAACCGCUGAAAGCAUCUAAGUGGGAAGCCCACCUCAAGAUGAGUAUUCUGGUGUAAGGUCACGGGAAGACGACCCGUAAAUAGGCACGAGGUGGAAGUGCAGAGAUGUAUGAAGCCGAAGUGUACUAAUAGGCCGUCGGCUUGACC